rnacentral:rRNA from 1 species
AUUGAACGCUGGCGGUAUGCCUAACACAUGCAAGUCGAACGAGGUAGCAAUACCUAGUGGCGGACGGGUGAGGAAUACGUAGGGAUCUGCCCUUAAGUGGGGGAUAACCCGGGGAAACCCGGAUUAAUACCGCAUGAUCUCGCAAGAGCAAAGAGGGGGACCGCAAGGCCUCUCGCUUUUGGAGGAACCUACGUCGGAUUAGCUAGUUGGUGAGGUAAUGGCUCACCAAGGCGACGAUCCGUAACUGGUCUGAGAGGAUGAUCAGUCACACCGGAACUGAGACACGGUCCGGACUCCUACGGGAGGCAGCAGUGGGGAAUAUUGGACAAUGGGCGAAAGCCUGAUCCAGCAAUACCGCGUGUGUGAAGAAGGCC